GAUGAACGCUGGCGGCGUGCUUAACACAUGCAAGUCGAACGAAGCACUUUAACCUGAUUCUUCGGAUGAAGGUUUUUGUGACUGAGUGGCGGACGGGUGAGUAACGCGUGGGUAACCUGCCUCAUACAGGGGGAUAACAGUUAGAAAUGACUGCUAAUACCGCAUAAGACCACAGAGCCGCAUGGCUCGGUGGGAAAAACUCCGGUGGUAUGAGAUGGACCCGCGUCUGAUUAGGUAGUUGGUGGGGUAACGGCCUACCAAGCCAACGAUCAGUAGCCGACCUGAGAGGGUGACCGGCCACAUUGGGACUGAGACACGGCCCAAACUCCUACGGGAGGCAGCAGUGGGGAAUAUUGCACAAUGGGGGAAACCCUGAUGCAGCGACGCCGCGUGAGCGAAGAAGUAUUUCGGUAUGUAAAGCUCUAUCAGCAGGGAAGAAAAUGACGGUACCUGACUAAGAAGCACCGGCUAAAUACGUGCCAGCAGCCGCGGUAAUACGUAUGGUGCAAGCGUUAUCCGGAUUUACUGGGUGUAAAGGGAGCGUAGACGGCUGUGUAAGUCUGAAGUGAAAGCCCGGGGCUCAACCCCGGGACUGCUUUGGAAACUAUGCAGCUAGAGUGUCGGAGAGGUAAGUGGAAUUCCCAGUGUAGCGGUGAAAUGCGUAGAUAUUGGGAGGAACACCAGUGGCGAAGGCGGCUUACUGGACGAUGACUGACGUUGAGGCUCGAAAGCGUGGGGAGCCA
rnacentral:rRNA from 1 species